GUGCCAGCAGCUGCGGUAAUACGGAGGGUGCAAGCGUUAAUCGGAAUUACUGGGCGUAAAGCGCACGCAGGCGGUCUGUUAAGUCAGAUGUGAAAUCCCCGGGCUCAACCUGGGAACUGCAUCUGAUACUGGCAGGCUUGAGUCUCGUAGAGGGGGGUAGAAUUCCAGGUGUAGCGGUGAAAUGCGUAGAGAUCUGGAGGAAUACCGGUGGCGAAGGCGGCCCCCCUGGACGAAGACUGACGCUCAGGUGCGAAAGCGUGGGGAGCAAACAGGAUUAGAUACCCUGGUAGUCCACGCCGUAAACGAUGUCGACUUGGAGGUUGUGCCCUUGAGGCGUGGCUUCCGGAGCUAACGCGUUAAGUCGACCGCCUGGGGAGUACGGCCGCAAGGUUAAAACUCAAAUGAAUUGACGGGGCCCGCACAAGCGGUGGAGCAUGUGGUUUAAUUCGAUGCAACGCGAAGAACCUUACUGGUCUUGACAUCCA
rnacentral:rRNA from 1 species